rnacentral:rRNA from 1 species
AUUGAACGCUGGCGGCAGGCCUAACACAUGCAAGUCGAGCGGAGCGGCGGACGGGUGAGUAAUGUAUGGGGAUCUGCCUGAUGGAGGGGGAUCACUACUGGAAAAGGUAGCUCAUACCGCAUACCCUCAGCUGCCCCCAUAUGGGAUUAGCUUGUCGGUGGGGUAAAGGCCUACCAAGGCGACGAUCCGUAACUGGUCUGAGAGGAUGAUCAGUCACACUGGAACUGAGACACGGUCCAGACUCCUACGGGAGGCAGCAGUGGGGAAUAUUGGACAAUGUGCGAAAGCCGGAUCCAGCCAUGCCGCGUGUGUGAAGAAGGGCUUCGGAUUGUAAAGCACUUUAAGUUGGGAGGCGUUACCAACAGAAUAAGCACCGGCUAACUUCGUGCCAGCCGCCGCGGUAAUAC